CUCAUUAAUACGGGACCUGAGUUCACGUGGUCCUUACAUAUCUUUGUGAAACUGAAUUCCUGAGUAUCUGCUUGAUUUGACCCGCUUAAGGAAUUACCGCAUUCUCUUAUCGAGAAGUGCUCCACGGGAAUACCUAAAAAAAGGCGCUUCCCCAACAGAUUGAAGAGAAAAUAUGGUUCUGCUCUUGAAAGAAGAUGAAGAGAAGGCGAGAAGAUGAAGGGCCGUCAUUCCACGGUUGUCCCUACUGAAUGCCAUCUCUGGACACAACUCCAAGAUCUCCAACGCUACAUCUGCUAGAUUAUCCGAAAGCGUCAACAAAUUGAUGAGAAAUAUCAUUAAUUAGGUUUUAAUUUAGUUUUUUUU